rnacentral:rRNA from 1 species
CCUACGGGAGGCAGCAGUGAGGAAUAUUGGUCAAUGGACGAGAGUCUGAACCAGCCAAGUAGCGUGAAGGAUGACUGCCCUAUGGGUUGUAAACUUCUUUUAUAUGGGAGUAAAAUGUUCCACGUGUGGGAUUUUGUAUGUACCAUAUGAAUAAGGAUCGGCUAACUCCGUGCCAGCAGCCGCGGUAAUACGGAGGAUCCGAGCGUUAUCCGGAUUUAUUGGGUUUAAAGGGGGCGUAGGUGGAUUGUUAAGUCAGUUGUGAAAGUUUGCGGCUCAACCGUAAGAUUGCAGUUGAAACUGGCAGUCUGGAGUACAGGAGAGGUAGGCGGAAUUCGUGGUGUAGCGGUGAAAUGCUUAGAUAUCACGAAGAACUCCGAUUGCGAAGGCAGUUCACUGGACUGCAACUGACGCUGAGGCUCGAAAGUGUGGGUAUCAAACAGGAUUAGAUACCCCAGUAGUC